rnacentral:rRNA from 1 species
ACGAAAGUCUGACGGAGCAACGCCGCGUGAGUGAAGAAGGUUUUCGGAUCGUAAAGCUCUGUCUUUGAGGACGAAUGUGCUUAAUGUGAAUAAUGUUAAGUAAUGACGGUACUCGAGGAGGAAGCCACGGCUAACUACGUGCCAGCAGCCGCGGUAAUACGUAGGUGGCAAGCGUUGUCCGGAAUUAUUGGGCGUAAAGCGCGCGCAGGCGGGAUAUUAAGUCUGUUUUAAAAGUUCGGGGCUCAACCCCGUGAUGGAAUGGAAACUAAUAUUCUUGAGUGCAGGAGAGGAAAGUGGAAUUCCCAGUGUAGCGGUGAAAUGCGUAGAUAUUGGGAGGAACACCAGUGGCGAAGGCGACUUUCUGGACUGUGUCUGACGCUGAGGCGCGAAAGCCAGGGGAGUGAACGGGAUUAGAUACCCCGGUAAUCCUGGCCGUAAACGAUGGGUACUAGGUGUAGGAGGUAUCGACCCCUUCUGUGCCGAAGUUAACGCAAUAAGUACCCCGCCUGGGGAGU